rnacentral:rRNA from 1 species
GAUGAACGCUGGCAGCAUGCUUAACACAUGCAAGUCAAGCGGACAUUGGGUUUUUUUCUUCGGCUUGCGUGACGGACGGGUGAGUAACGCGUACAGAACUAGCCUCCCAGCUAGGGACAACAAUUGGAAACGAAUGCUAAUACCUAAUAUUAUGAUUAUAGAGCAUCAUAUAUUUAUGAAAGCUAUAAGCGCUGUGAGAGAGCUUUGCGUCCUAUUAGCUAGUUGGAGAGGUAACGGCGCAGCCAGGCGAGGAUGGGUAGCCGGCCUGAGAGGGUGAUCGGCCACAAGGUGACUCGGACACGGCCCGUAGUGCAACGUGAGGCAGCGGUGGGGAAUAGAGGACGAUGGACCGAGUGUGUGAUCCAGCUAUUCGGUUUGCACGAUUAAGUUAUUCGGAAAGUAAAGUGCUUUCAGUUGGGAAGAAACAAAUGACGGUACCAACAGAGGAAGCGACGGCUAAAUACGUG